rnacentral:rRNA from 1 species
GAUGAACGCCAGCGGCAGGCCUAACACAUGCAAGUCGAGGGGCAGCACGUCUUCGGAUGGUGGCGACCGGCGCACGGGUGCGUAACGCGUAUGCAACCUACCUCUUACAGUGGGAUAGCCCAGAGAAAUUUGGAUUAAUACCGCAUAGUAUACAGAUUCAGCAUUGGGACUGUAUUAAACNUUUAUGGGUAANAGAUGGGCAUGCGUUCUAUUAGUUAGUUGGAGUGGUAACGGCACCCCAAGACAGCGAUAGAUAGGGGCCCUGAGAGGGGGAUCCCCCACACUGGUACUGAGACACGGACCAGACUCCUACGGAGGCAGCAGUGAGGAAUAUUGGACAAUGGGCGAGAGCCUGAUCCAGCCAUGCCGCGUGC